rnacentral:rRNA from 1 species
GUGCCAGCCGCCGCGGUAAUACCAGCAGCUCGAGUGAUGGCCAAUCUUAUUGGGCCUAAAGCGUCCGUAGCUGGCCGCGCAAGUCCGUCGGGAAAUCCAUCAGCCCAACUGAUGGGCGUCCGACGGAAACUGCACAGCUUGGGACCGGAAGGCUCGAAGGGUACGUUCGGGGUAGGAGUGAAAUCCUAUAAUCCCGCACGGACCACCGAUGGCGAAAGCACUUCGAGAAAACGGAUCCGACAGUGAGGGACGAAAGCCAGGGUCUCCAACCGGAUUAGAUACCCGGGUAGUCC